rnacentral:rRNA from 1 species
AUUCCAGCUCCAAUAGCGUAUAUUUAAGUUGUUGCGGUUAAAAAGCUCGUAGUUGGAUUUCGGGCGUGGAGGUUCGGUCCGCCGUUUCGGCGUGCACUGUCUUUCUGCGUCUUUCUGUCGGGGACGCGCUUCUGGCCUUAAUUGGCUGGGACGUGGAUUCGACGAGGUUACUUUGAAAAAAUUAGAGUGUUCAAAGCAAGCUAAAGCUCUGAAUACAUUAGCAUGGAAUAACGCGAGAGGACUCGGUCCUUAUUUUGUUGGUCUUCAAGGAUGGAGUAAUGAUUAAGAGGGACAGUUGGGGGCAUUCGUAUUUCAUUGCUAGAGGUGAAAUUCUUGGAUUUAUGAAAGUCGAACUUCUGCGAAAGCAUUUGCCAAGGAUGUUUUCAUCA